CAAUUAAGAGUAAAAAAAGAUGACAUUGGCAAGUUGCCUUUGGUAUUUGCAUGUUUGCUUGAAUGUUUUCAUUUUUUAAGAUGAGGAAAGUAAGUUUCAGAGAGGUUAUGUAAUUCGCCCAAGGUGACAUCAAUAUGUGACCUCAAGUCUGUUGUACCCAAAGCCUUUGGAUCUGUUUCAUCACUCAGUGGCCCCUAAUGUUGACACAGAGAUGAAGGUGAAGGAGAAGAAGGGAAAAAACACAGGAGGACAGAGUGAAAAGCUGACCAUCUGCAAUCUGGGAAGCAGGCUCUCACCAGACAUGCAAUCUGCUGGCAUCUUGAUCUUGGACUUCCAGCCUCUUGAACUGAAAGAAAUGUUUGUUGCUUAAGUCAUUCUGUCUGUGGGAUUUUUUUUUUUUAAAUAGAAGUCCACCCUAAGCUAUAUCUUGCAUAUCAGAAUAUGCAAGAUUACUGGGUUUCCAUUCAACCCAGUAAAAGGCCAUGGGGACUGGACUUUUGCUAUGUUUUGUGUAUACCUUAAUCUUGUCAUUCAAGUAGACUAUAGACGUCUCCUUUUUUUUUUAAAAUUAG